CCGCCGCAGCACUAUAUCAGUGGCCAGUGCUGCGAUGGGAUCCGUGCGUCUAGGGCUCUCUUUGGGCCGCGCCUUGGGAAACAGCGGCGACUGCGGACGAAAUUCGGGUGCGUCGCAGUAUACCUGAGCGAGCAGACAGCGUCUUUCGCCGCGGGGGUCUGUCGCUGACGCAAGCCGCUGUCGCGCCUCGGACAACUCAUUUAUAUCGUCCGAGAAGACCGCGUCGCGGACACUGCUGUUGCUGCCACCCAGCUGCGUGGAACCACCUGCUAUCGCGCCGCCCCACGUUCGCCGCAGAGGAGCCUCUUGCUGCCGUCUCUGUGAGGGUCCUGGCGUCGACGCCCGGGCGCUUACGUUCGCCGCCGCGCCGUUCAGCCAGUCGCCCCGCCUCCCGUGCCGCCGCAUCGCACCGGCCGCCGCCCCCGCACUCCACACCGUCUCUCUGCCGCCGUCUACGCGCCGCAGCUAUUGUAAGUGUCGACAUAGCGGAAAGAACAGACUACUCUCCUGAUGGAAGUUUUCCCGUGUGAGAGGCCAAGACUAGUGUUUUUUGUGCCAAUAACUUCAAUUCAGAAUGGCGUUUUGUGUUUCUAUACCAGAUUGUGGUUUUAUACACCAUUUCUGCUGCUCCUUGUGUGAAUUGUUUCCCUCAGUAAUUGAAAGUACGUGGUGUAAAAUUAAGUUUUGUAUGUUAUUUAGUUAUCGCAUGGCCACUCUCUCUGUAUACAGGCUCUCUUUGGGCCGCGCCUUGGGAAACAGCGGCGACUGCGGACGAAAUUCGGGUGCGUCGCAGGAUACCUGAGCGAGCAGACAGCGUCUGUCGCCGCGGGGGUCUGUCGCUGACGCAAGCCGCUGUCGCGCCUCGGGCAACUCAUUUAUAUCGUCCGAGAAGUAUCUUUAUACAGUAACGUUUUGAGUUUGGACAGCUCCCCUAUUUUCUUGUUAUAUGUGUGUCAGCUGUACUAUUUGGUAUCAUGCUGAGCGCUGUUUACUUCACAGUCGCUUAUUUAAUUUCGUGCGUAGUUGUAAUGAGCAGAAGUUUCUGUAGGUAUAUUUUUGAGAGUAUUCGAUUAAUCUCCAGGGAUUUGCAGCUAGCAAAAUGUGUCUGUCAAUCAUAGAGACUCCCAGCCGUUCAUGGCAUUUUCUUCAGUUUCACUUUCGUACCACGAUUUAUCUUAUUUUCUUUCAUCAUUUCUAUAAGUACUAUUCCUGCACCCCGAUGAGAGUAGGCUCUUACGCCUUGCUAAACAGACGUGAGAGCACCACGGACCGCGACAAACCCCUUCUGUCCGAAAGCCGCGUUUGCAAGGCCGCUGAAAUAAUCGGGGUGUUCGAUCGCUGUACCUUGAUGGGGAUGUGUUUUUAUUGCGAGACCUGGCACAGACGCGAAAUCGCGUCUAGGCCGUGUGAGAAAAGUGGCAAACCAUUAAAUUCUGACCAUCCUGGUAUUGUUUAGCAGACUACUAGUGGGACUGGGCGACUUCAGACCCCAAGCGCGUAUACGGUCGUAAUUACACGAUUAGCACUUCCGUUGCCGCUGCCUGACAUGCCGGAUUGCGGAGGAAAAGGAUUGAACUUUCUCGGUCUUGUCUUUCUCUUCUUUCAGCAUCUCUUUACAUUUUGUCCCCUCAUCUUGGCCGGCCGUGGUGGCCGAGCGGUUAAAGGCGCUACAGUCUGGAACCGCGCGACGACCGCUACGGUCGCAGGUUCGAAUCCUGCCUCGGGCAUGGAUGUGUGUGAUGUCCUUAGGUUAGCUAGGUUUAAGUAGUUCUAAGUUCUAGGGGACUGAUGACCUUAGAAGUUAAGUCCCAUAGUGCUCAGAGCCAUUUGAACCAACCCUCAUCUUGAAGUCUUCCUCUGCCCGUUCCUUUUGUUUUUCAUAAGUAGAAGUUGCUUAACUGGUUAACUCAGUGCACGAAGCUACGAUGUAUUAAGUAAUGUACUGAAAUAUGAGUUAUAAUGCAUGAUGGAGUACCUAUCUAAGUUAACGUGUGAGGACAUGAUAAUUUUCGGCUGUUGCCCGCAGAGGACAGCGAAGUUUGUUGAUAUGAAGAUAUGUAUGAAGUUGUUCUUAUUGAGGUUACUUGUGAGAAGGCGAGAGGUCCCCUGUGGAUAAUAUGGUCGAACGGAAUUGCGUGCAGUCAAGAGUUCGUGUGUCAGUCGUUGUAAGUGAUGUCGUUUCUGUUGUACAGAUAAUGUUUUGUGGUAGAAGCUAAGGAGGAUACGUUUUCUGAUAAUGUGGAGUUGACUGAGUGAUGUUAAACGGUGAAUUUUAUGCUGUCGCCCCCAGAGGUCAGAAAGAGCAGCGAACAAUGUUUCAUUUUACCACGAAGCGCGUUUCAAUUUCAGACAACAAUGUGUCUUUGGAAUCGUUUAAAUUGUUACGUGUGAACGCUUACUACUAUAAGCAGAGGCCGCAUGGUACAAACACGUGGACUAGCACAGCUUUUGCCUUGCAAUAAGCCAGCCAUGCACCCACAUGCUACCACUUCCAUUUCCCGUCUUAGUCUUGUCUGCCACAAUUAAGUUUAAUUUUCAGUCAUUUGUGGUAUAAGUUUUGAGUGAGUGUAAACAGUGUUGAACAUCGUGGGAAUCUGUUUUCUUUCGAAAGAAUGCAUUAAUUUAACCUUACGUAGGUUUUUCUACAAUGUUACUUUUUACAAGUCUGAUUUGUUCGGUACUUCGCUUUGUUGUCAAAUAAAGAA